GAUGAAGAACGCAGUGAAAUGCGAUAAUUAAUGUGAAUUGCAGAAUUCAGUGAAUCAUCGAGUCUUUGAACGCACAUUGCGCCCCCUGGUAUUCCGGGGGGCAUGCCUGUCCGAGCGUCAUUGCUGCCCUCAAGCACGGCUUGUGUGUUGGGCCCCGUCCUCCGAUCCCGGGGGACGGGCCCGAAAGGCAGCGGCGGCACCGCGUCCGGUCCUCGAGCGUAUGGGGCUUUGUCACCCGCUCUGUAGGCCCGGCCGGCGCUUGCCGAUCAACCCAAAUUUUUAUCCAGGUUGACCUCGGAUCAGGUAGGGAUACCCGCUGAACUUAAGCAUAUCAAUAAGCGGAGGA
rnacentral:misc_RNA from 1 species